rnacentral:rRNA from 1 species
GACGAACGCUGGCGGCGUGCUUAACACAUGCAAGUCGAACGGACAGGCCCUGCUUUUGUGGGGUGCUCGAGUGGCGAACGGGUGAGUAACACGUGAGUAACCUGCCCUUGAUUUUGGGAUAACUUCAGGACAGUGGGGCUAAUACCGGAUAGGAGCUCCUGCUGCAUGGUGGGGGUUGGCUAGUUUCGGCGGUUGGGGAUGGACUCGCGGCUUAUCCGGCUGUUGGUGGGGUAGUGGCUUACCAAGGCUUUGACGGGUGGCCGGCCUGAGAGGGUGACCGGCCACAUUGGGACAGAGAUACGGCCCAGACUCCUACGGGAGGCAGCAGUGGGGAAUAUUGCACAAUGGGCGGAAGCCUGAUGCAGCAACGCCGCGUGCGGGAUGACGGCCUUCGUGUUGUAAACCGCUUUCGCCUGUGACGAAGCGUGAGUGACGGUAAUGGGUAAAGAAGCACCGGCUAACUACGUG